GGUCCCGUGGUGUAAUGGUUAGCACAUUAGAUUCUGACACGAAUUAGAGUGCCUUCUGAGGAUGCUGGUUCGACUCCUGCCGGGACCU